UCAAUUGCUAAUCUUCUAUCAUAAUUGAGUCCUUGAAGAUCUCAAACUCAAACACUAUCUUUAUCCCGGAUUGUCUUCUCUUAAUAUAAGGAGAUUUUCUCUCCUUAUCUAAUAUGCAACCUUUUCGAUCAGAUAAGGACAUAUUGCUGCUUGAUCAGUAUGACUUAUCUCCCUCACGUGUACCUUGCAUGCAUAGGUUGAUCAUAACUGUGCUUCAUAUGAUGGACAUGGUCCAUGUUUGAGUUCAUUUGUCAUUCUUCAAAACUUCACAUGUUCUUCGGCCAACAAAUUUCCCCUUUUUGAUGAUGACAAAGUCCAUGCUUUUCACUGAUUUGGGAC
rnacentral:lncRNA from 1 species